AUGAACGCUGGCGGCGUGCUUAAUACAUGCAAGUCGAACGAGGGACUUUUGUCUUCGGAUGGAGGUUUCCUAGUGGCGAACGGGUGAGUAACGCGUUGGUGACCUGCCCCGAAGUGGGGGAUAACAGUUCGAAAGGACUGCUAAUACCUCAUGAUAUCAAUUGGACUAGAUACCUUUUGAUCAAAGGCGAAAGCCGCUUUGGGAGGGGCCUGCGUCCCAUCAGCUUGUUGGUAGGGUAAUGGCCUACCAAGGCUAAGACGGGUAGGGGACCUAAGAGGGUGACCCCCCACACUGGCACUGAAACACGGUCCAUACACCUACGGGUGGCAGCAGUAGGGAAUAUUAGUAAUGGGCGAAAGCCUGAACUAGCAACACCGCGUGUGCGAUGAAGGCCUUCGGGUUGUAAAGCACUUUUCGGGAGGAUGAGGAAGGACGGUACUCCCGGAAUAAGUCUCGGCUAACUACGU
rnacentral:rRNA from 1 species